GGGCUUGUGGUUUAGUGGUAUAAUACUCCCUUAGCAUGAUUCUUAGGAAUUUGAUUGGGAGUGGUCCGGGGUUCGAUUCCCCGCGAGUCCA